rnacentral:ncRNA from 1 species
AAAAGACUUAGUCCUAACCUUACCGUUAAUUCUCGCUAAACAUAUACAUGCAAGUAUCCGCACACCAGUGUAAAUGCCCUUAACAUCUUAACAAGAUAAAAGGAGCAGGCAUCAGGCACACACCAGUAGCCCAAGACGCCUUGCUUAGCCACACCCCCACGGGUAUUCAGCAGUAAUUAACAUUAAGCAAUAAGUGUAAACUUGACUUAGUUAUAGCGACUAUAACUUAGGGUUGGUAAAUCUUGUGCCAGCCACCGCGGUCAUACAAGAAGCCCAAAUUAACCGUACGCGGCGUAAAGCGUGGUGUCAUGCUAUCGCGGAAGCUAAGAUCAAAGUGCAACUGAGCUGUCAUAAGCACAAGAUGCACCUAAAACCACCCUUAAGACGAUCUCAGCACUCCCUCCAACGACCCAUUAAACUCCACGAAAGCUAAGGCCCAAACUGGGAUUAGAUACCCCACUAUGCUUAGCCCUAAAUCCUGAUGCUUACUCAACUAAAGCAUCCGCCCGAGAACUACGAGCACAAACGCUUAAAACUCUAAGGACUUGGCGGUGCCCCAAACCCACCUAGAGGAGCCUGUUCUAUAAUCGAUAACCCACGAUACACCCGACCACUCCUUGCUAAGGCAGCCUAUAUACCGCCGUCGCCAGCUCACCUCCCCUGAAAGUACAACAGUGAGCAUAAUAGCCUAUUGAGCCCGCUAAUAAGACAGGUCGAGGUAUAGCCCAUGAAGUGGAAGAAAUGGGCUACAUUUUCUAACAUAGAAAACCCACGGAAGGGGGGUAUGAAACAACCCCCAGAAGGCGGAUUUAGCAGUAAAGUGAGACAAUAGAGCUCGCUUUAAGUCGGCCCUGAGGCACGUACAUACCGCCCGUCACCCUCCUCACAAGCUAUAGACCCCCCCCCCAAAUAAUUCAAUACGCAACCUAGCUAAAGAUGAGGUAAGUCGUAACAAGGUAAGUGUACCGGAAGGUGCACUUAGCAUAUC